GGUAAGAGAUCGAAGCUUCUCUGAGCAAAGCGGAGCCUAUAUUCUUCCUCUUUGUACAAAAAAUGCUAAAUUCUUUUAUCGCAGAUCAUUUAAAGUCCAGGGAGGAACAACAGCGAGAGAAAAAGCUAAUGCAGAGACUGGUUGAAAUUGUGGACGGCAGAAAUGCAAUCGUGGAAGGUCUGGAUGAAGACAGACUGAGGGAGUUUGAAGAAGACCAAGAGUUAAAUGAAAUGAUGAAAAAUCUCGGGGUAAAGAAAGCCAAAACUAAGAGGAAAUCCUCCAUCUCCAAACUGUUCAGGCGAAGAAGUAAAAGACGAGUGGAGUGAUUAUUUUUACAAAACUGGAAAAAAAAAAGUGGAAAAGUUCAUGUAUUAUUAAUGCUUUUUUUUUUUUUUUUUUUACAGUUUUAUAUGUAUAUAUAACUGCAG
rnacentral:lncRNA from 1 species